rnacentral:rRNA from 1 species
GAUGAACGCUGGCGGCGUGCCUAAUACAUGCAAGUCGAGCGAACGGACGAGAAGCUUGCUUCUCUGAUGUUAGCGGCGGACGGGUGUGUAACACGUGGAUAACCUACCUAUAAGACUGGGAUAACUUCGGGAAACCGUAGCUAAUACCGGAUAAUAUUUUGCACCGCAUUGUUCAAUAGUGAAAGACGGUCUUGCUGUCACUUAUAGAUGGAUCUGCGCUGCAUUAGCUGGUUGGUAAGGUAACGGCUUACCAAGGCAACGAUGCAUAGCCGACCUGAGAGGGUGAUCGGCCACACUGGAGCUGAGACACGGUCCAGACUCCUACGGGAGGCAGCAGUAGGGAAUCGUCCGCAAUGGGCGAAAGCCUGACGGAGCAACGCCGCGUGAGUGAUGAAGGUCUUCGGAUCGUAAAACUCUGUUAUGAGGGAAGAACAUAUGUGUAAGUAACUGUGCACAUCUUGGCGGUACCUAAUCAGAAAGCCACGGCUAACUACGUG